GACGAACGCUGGCGGCGUGCUUAACACAUGCAAGUCGAACGGAAAGGCCCUGCUUUUGUGGGGUGCUCGAGUGGCGAACGGGUGAGUAACACGUGAGUAACCUGCCCUUGACUUUGGGAUAACUUCAGGAAACUGGGGCUAAUACCGGAUAGGAGCUCCUGCUGCAUGGUGGGGGUUGGAAAGUUUCGGCGGUUGGGGAUGGACUCGCGGCUUAUCAGCUUGUUGGUGGGGUAGUGGCUUACCAAGGCUUUGACGGGUAGCCGGCCUGAGCGGGUGACCGGCCACAUUGGGACUGAGAUACGGCCCAGUAUCCUACGGGAGGCAGCAGUGGGGAAUAUUGCACAAUGGGCGGAAGCCUGAUGCAGCAACGCCGCGUGCGGGAUGACGGCCUUCGGGUUGUAAACCGCUUUCGCCUGUGACGAAGCGUGAGUGACGGUAAUGGGUAAAGAAGCACCGGCUAACUACGUG
rnacentral:rRNA from 1 species